UCCAAAAUCUGCCCCCCUCCCCGCCCUUCCCCCAACCGGGGAUGGCUCCGUGCCGGCGGGUGGAGGCGCGUAGGGCUGCGGUCAAUAGAAAGCCGCGUCGGCGCGGCCCGAGAUGUAGUAUCCAACGUUAAUGGAUGUCCAGGGCGCGCCGCGCCGCCGGCUGAUGGCCAGAGGCACGCGGGAGGCGCGAACCGGAGUCCUGGACUUGGAAAGGAGGUGGAAAAGAAACAGAAAAAACGGAAAUACAACAACGUGGACCAUUUCAAACACCACCCUGUCAGAAUCCAUCCUAAUUCCAGCAGUCGGUGGCAUUUUUGACUGAAUUAAAAAAGACCGUUUUCUCGCUUUCA